rnacentral:rRNA from 5 species
UUGUCCAGGCAAAUCCGGAUAAUCAAGGCUGAGGUGUGAUGACGAGGCACUACGGUGCUGAAGUAACAAAUGCCCUGCUUCCAGGAAAAGCCUCUAAGCAUCAGGUAACAUUAAAUCGUACCCCAAACCGACACAGGUGGUCAGGUAGAGAAUACCAAGGCGCUUGAGAGAACUCGGGUGAAGGAACUAGGCAAAAUGGUGCCGUAACUUCGGGAGAAGGCACGCUGGUGUGUAGGUGAAGUCCCUGCGGAUGGAGCUGAGACCAGUCGAAGAUACCAGCUGGCUGCAACUGUUUAUUAAAAACACAGCACUGUGCAAACACGAAAGUGGACGUAUACGGUGUGACGCCUGCCCGGUGCCGGAAGGUUAAUUGAUGGGGUUAUCCGUAAGGAGAAGCUCUUGAUCGAAGCCCCGGUAAACGGCGGCCGUAACUAUAACGGUCCUAAGGUAGCGAAAUUCCUUGUCGGGUAAGUUCCGACCUGCACGAAUGGCGUAAUGAUGGCCAGGCUGUCUCCACCCGAGACUCAGUGAAAUUGAACUCGCUGUGAAGAUGCAGUGUACCCGCGGCAAGACGGAAAGACCCCGUGAACCUUUACUAUAGCUUGACACUGAACAUUGAGCCUUGAUGUGUAGGAUAGGUGGGAGGCUUUGAAGCGUGGACGCCAGUCUGCGUGGAGCCAACCUUGAAAUACCACCCUUUAAUGUUUGAUGUUCUAACGUUGGCCCCUGACCGGGGUUGCGGACAGUGUCUGGUGGGUAGUUUGACUGGGGCGGUCUCCUCCCAAAGCGUAACGGAGGAGCACGAAGGUUAGCUAAUCCUGGUCGGACAUCAGGAGGUUAGUGCAAUGGCAUAAGCUAGCUUGACUGCGAGCGUGACGGCGCGAGCAGGUGCGAAAGCAGGUCAUAGUGAUCCGGUGGUUCUGAAUGGAAGGGCCAUCGCUCAACGGAUAAAAGGUACUCCGGGGAUAACAGGCUGAUACCGCCCAAGAGUUCAUAUCGACGGCGGUGUUUGGCACCUCGAUGUCGGCUCAUCACAUCCUGGGGCUGAAGUAGGUCCCAAGGGUAUGGCUGUUCGCCAUUUAAAGUGGUACGCGAGCUGGGUUUAGAACGUCGUGAGACAGUUCGGUCCCUAUCUGCCGUGGGCGCUGGAGAAUUGAGGGGGGCUGCUCCUAGUACGAGAGGACCGGAGUGGACGCAUCACUGGUGUUCGGGUUGUCAUGCCAAUGGCACUGCCCGGUAGCUAAAUGCGGAAGAGAUAAGUGCUGAAAGCAUCUAAGCACGAAACUUGCCCCGAGAUGAGUUCUCCCUGAGACUUUAAGUCUCCUGAAGGAACGUUAAAGACGAUGACGUUGAUAGGCCGGGUGUGUAAGCGCAGCGAUGCGUUGAGCUAACCGGUACUAAUGAACCGUGAGGCUUAACCUU